ensembl:ncRNA lncRNA:CR45670 long non-coding RNA:CR45670
AUUAAAUCAAAUUGAAGAUUUCGCCAGCCAUUGCGUGAGAAGUUGCCCCAUUCCGAGGCACAUACGUAGCUUUGGGUCGCGGCCAUCAAUCAAUGGCGUAGCACGGCACGCCUAUAAUCUCGAAUCCCCAUAUAUACCCACUGUACAACGCCGUGGUGCGCUUAUCAAUCCAAUUGAGUGCGCUGUUAUUAAUAACAAUACCCGUGCUUUAUAUUAAACGCGUUGACUGUUGCAUCAACGCCCCUCAGAAGCACACAGCGCGUCAAUAAAAGUUGGAUGAGUAAUCCCAGUGGACUCGGGUUACCAACUGCCAGUGGAAUGCAUAUGU